GUUUGUAUGGCGAAAGAGUGGAUAUUGUAAGCUAUGUUUGCCACCUCGACGUCGACUCUGCGUAUUCUCUUGGUUGUAACUGANGAAGGGUUUGACUGUUCGUCAAUUAAAAAGUAACGUGAGUUGGGUUAAAUAUGAUGUAACUCAGUAU
rnacentral:ncRNA from 1 species